rnacentral:rRNA from 1 species
UGGGUAGUCCGCACGAGCGCAACCCUUAUCCUUUGUUGCCAGCACGUAAUGGUGGGAACUCAAAGGAGACUGCCGGUGAUAAACCGGAGGAAGGUGGGGAUGACGUCAAGUCAUCAUGGCCCUUACGAGUAGGGCUACACACGUGCUACAAUGGCAGAUACAAAGAGAAGCGACCUCGCGAGAGCAAGCGGAACUCAUAAAGUCUGUCGUAGUCCGGAUUGGAGUCUGCAACUCGACUCCAUGAAGUCGGAAUCGCUAGUAAUCGUAGAUCAGAAUGCUACGGUGAAUACGUUCCCGGGCCUUGUACACACCGCCCGUAA